rnacentral:tRNA from 1 species
UCCCUGGUGGUCCAGUGGUUAGGGCUCCACGCUCCCAAUGCAGGGGGCCCGGGUUCCAUUUCUGGUCGGGGAA